UAGCGGUCCAGGGGUAUAGUAGACUAUACAUCUGGGAAGCUAGCCAGGGAAACACCACUGUUAGUGGGAAGAUUAACUGGC
rnacentral:ribozyme from 1 species